GUAACACGUGGGUGACCCGCCCUGGGGUGGGGAAUAACUUGCCGAAAGGCGAGCUAAGACCGCCUAAGCCCUGCAGGUCGCACUGGAGGGGAAAGCCGGGUAAGACCGGCGCCGCAGGAGGGGCCCGCGGCCGAUUAGCUGGUUGGUAGGGUAAGAGCCUACCAAGGCGACGAUCGGUAGCCGGUCUGAGAGGACGGACGGCCACACUGGAACUGAGAGACGGUCCAGACUCCUACGGGAGGCAGCAGUGGGGAAUUUUGCGCAAUGGGGGAAACCCUGACGCAGCAACGCCGCGUGGAGGAAGAAGAUUUUCGGAUUGUAAACUCCUGUCCGAGGGGAAAAAGGCAGUGAUGGUACCCUUGGAGGAAGCCCCGGCUAACUCCGUGCCAGCAGCCGCGGUAAUACGGGGGGGGCGAGCGUUGUUCGGAAUGACUGGGCGUAAAGGGCGCGUAGGCGGCCUGGGAAGUCUCAGGUGAAAGUCCUCGGCUUAACCGGGGAAGGUCCUGAGAAACCACGAGGCUGGAGUGCUGGAGAGGGAGGCGGAAUUCCCGGUGGAGCGGUGAAAUGCGUAGAGAUCGGGAGGAACACCAGAGGCGUAGGCGGCCUCCUGGACAGACACUGACGCUGAGGCGCGAAAGCCAGGGGUGCGAACGGGAUUAGAUACCCCGGUAGUCCUGGCGGUAAACGAUGGUCACUAGGCGUGGGAGGUAGCCAAGUCCUUCUGUGUCGCAGGUAACCUGAUAAGUGACCCGCCUGGGGAGUACGGCCGCAAGGCUGAAACUCAAAGGAAUUGACGGGGGCCCGCACAAGCGGUGGAGCAUGUGGUCUAAUUCGACGCAACGCGAAGAACCUUACCGGGGUUUGAACUGCCGAGGCAACUGCGCGAGAGCGUGGGUUCUCCGCAAGGGGACUUUGGCAGAGGUGCUGCAUGGCUGUCGUCAGCUCGUGUCGUGAGAUGUUGGGUUAAGUCCCGCAACGAGCGC
rnacentral:rRNA from 1 species